UUUUGUUAGCCUGAUAAUGUUGAAAGCAAGCGAGUGAAUUGGAUUAAAUAUUUUUUCAUUUGUGCCUCACUUCAAACAAAUGUUGUGAUCUUCGCUCAUCAUUUAUUAUUGAUAUAAAAAAAAAUGUCAUAAAUAAUGCAACAGGGAGAGUUGUAAAAUGACGAAGAACUGGAAGCGACGACGUCGACUGGCUGCCAGCACAGUACAAUUUACAAACUGCGCACUGUCUUUAUAAACAGACCAAUAAUACAAAAGCCAUUGUAUUUAAUUUUAUGAAGAACUUUCAUUUGAUGUGAACAAGGAAUUUCUAGCAUGGAAGAAGGACAAUAAAAUAUAAUUCCUAAAUAACCACCCGCACUGAGUGUUGAUUCAUCCCUAAAUCCUAACUUUAAAAUAGUUGUUGCACUGAAUGAAAAGCAGGCUGUUAUGCGAGUGCCUGAAAGACUUUGAAAUAUAUUUCUUGUGAAGAAUUGGAAUAUAGACUCAGCUAUCAGCUAUCAGGUUCAAUGUGAAUGCAACUAAUCUAUGGUUCAGAUUCCUUGAAUGUGGCGCUUAAUAAACCAACAAGGCAAAGUUCAACGUACUAUGGCGUUUCAGAUAAAGUUGUAGAUGGUAAUACUAAUCAGGAUUGGUCUGGGGGAAGUUGUACACAGACUGAUGACGAUAGAGCAACAGAAUGGUUGUGUGUCGAUCUAAAACAGAGUUUUGAUAUCAGUAGUAUGAAGAUAUUUAACAUAUUAGAUGACGAUACUGACACAAUGAUAGGAUUUGAGAUUGGAUUGAGUUCUACUGGUAAAUGUGAUGAAGCAGGUUUUAGAUCAGCUACACCAUGUUAUAAAGACCACACGUCAAAAGGACAAUCUGUAUAUACCAUAGAGAGAUGUAAUCAACCACCUGUACCAUCAUUAUCGGCUAGAUAUGUUUUUGUUUCAACACAUAAAUAUUUGACGUUAUGUGAAGUACAAAUAU